rnacentral:misc_RNA from 1 species
UUGAAAUAAACCUGAUGGGGUUGAUGCUGGCUCUCCAGGGAGCAUGUGCACACCUUGUCAUCUUUAUAUCUCCACCUGUGCACUUUUUGUAGGCCUUUUUAGGUCUAUGUUGCUUCAUUUUACACCAAUGUAUGUCAAUAGAAUGUUGUGCCUAUGUAAUAUAUA